AAUUUAAUGGCUGCAGUAUAAUUGACUGUACAAAGGUAGCAUAAUCAAUUGUUUUUUAAUUA
rnacentral:tRNA from 1 species